GCCUUCAUUAGCUCAGUGGCUAGAGCGCUGGUCUAGUAAACCAGAGGCCAGGGGUUCGAUCCUCCCUGAAGGCA
rnacentral:tRNA from 1 species